rnacentral:lncRNA from 1 species
UGGUCCGUCUCGGGGCUCAUGCAGAUAAAUAUUCCCCACGGACUGUUUUUGAGAGUUUCUUUUUUGCUAGCAUCCUUUACUCUCAAGGAUCGGACAUGACCUCAAAAUUCCCUCUGUCGGUGCCCGGCUCCCCCAAAGGAGCUCACACAGGACUUUCACAUACAUGACAGGGUACUUAGUCCACAGAGAGCUCACAGUGACUUUCCUAUAUGUACUUGUCCGGCUCUCAAAGGACUUACCCAAGACUCAAUGACAGAAAUGGGCUAUUGAAGUCGCCUUGGUCCAAACCUCCUGAAACAACAUCAAAUAAUGCAAUGCGCCAUAUUCGUGAACUAAUGCAAUCAACCCUAUUACAUAUAAACAUGAUGCAUGAACAUGCUUUAGGCAUUUGAUUUUGUAU